CUAGGCAAAAUGGCACCGUAACUUCGGGAGAAGGUGCGCCGGUUUUGGUGAAAGGGCUUGCCCCUCGAGCUGAGGCCGGCCGAAGAUACCAGUCCCCUGCAACUGUUUAUUAAAAACACAGCACUCUGCAAACACGUAAGUGGACGUAUAGGGUGUGACGCCUGCCCGGUGCCGGAAGGUUAAUUGAUGGGGUUAGCGUAAGCGAAGCUCUUGAUCGAAGCUCCGGUAAACGGCGGCCGUAACUAUAACGGUCCUAAGGUAGCGAAAUUCCUUGUCGGGUAAGUUCCGACCUGCACGAAUGGCGUAAUGAUGGGGGAGCUGUCUCCACCCGAGACUCAGUGAAAUUGAAAUCGCGGUUAAGAUGCCGUGUACCCGCGGCUAGACGGAAAGACCCCGUGAACCUUUACUGUAGCUUUGCACUGAACUUUGAACCUAUCUGUGUAGGAUAGGUGGGAGGCUUUGAAGUCGAGACGCUAGUUUCGAUGGAGCCGUCCUUGAAAUACCACCCUGGUAUGUUUGAGGUUCUAACCUAGGUCCGUUAUCCGGACUGGGGACAGUGUAUGGUGGGCAGUUUGACUGGGGCGGUCUCCUCCCAAAGAGUAACGGAGGAGCACGAAGGUUGGCUAAUCCUGGUCGGAAAUCAGGAGGUUAGUGUAAUGGCACAAGCCAGCUUGACUGCGAGACAGACAUGUCGAGCAGGUACGAAAGUAGGUCAUAGUGAUCCGGUGGUUCUGUAUGGAAGGGCCAUCGCUCAACGGAUAAAAGGUACUCCGGGGAUAACAGGCUGAUACCGCCCAAGAGUUCACAUCGACGGCGGUGUUUGGCACCUCGAUGUCGGCUCAUCACAUCCUGGGGCUGAAGCCGGUCCCAAGGGUAUGGCUGUUCGCCAUUUAAAGUGGUACGCGAGCUGGGUUUAGAACGUCGUGAGACAGUUCGGUCCCUAUCUGCCGUGGGCGUUGGAGAUUGAGAAGAGUUGUUCCUAGUACGAGAGGACCGGAAUGAACGCACCUCUGGUGUUCGGGUUGUCAUGCCAAUGGCAUCGCCCGGUAGCUACGUGCGGACAGGAUAACCGCUGAAAGCAUCUAAGCGGGAAGCCUCCUUCAAGAUUAGAUCUCCCUGGAACUUUAAGUUCCCUGUAGAGCCGUUGGAGACUACGACGUUGAUAGGUUGGGUGUGGAAGCGUCGCGAGGCGUUGAGCUAACCAAUACUAAUUGCUCGUGCGGCUUGACCAU
rnacentral:rRNA from 1 species